UACGGAGGGGGCGAGCGUUGUUCGGAGUUACUGGGCGUAAAGCGCACGUAGGCGGUGCGGUAAGUCAGGGGUGAAAUCCCACGGCUCAACCGUGGAAUUGCCUUUGAAACUGCUGGGCUUGGAUCCUGGAGAGGGUGGCGGAAUUCCCGGUGUAGCGGUGAAAUGCGUAGAUAUCGGGAGGAAGGCCGGUGGCGAAGGCGGCCUCCUGGGCCUGCACUGACGCUGAGGCGCGAAAGCGUGGGGAGCAAACAGG
rnacentral:rRNA from 1 species